UCCUUCUUGUUUUCAUUCCUUUUCUUCUUCAUUUGGCCGAGAGAAAGAUUUUUAAAAAAAAUUCGUCGGCGAGCUAUUUCGGCGAACCAACGCUUCUAUGCUCUUCCUCUCAUUCUAUUGAGCUUGGUGGCGAAGCUUCCUCCCAGGGGAAGAAAAUUGCUGACCUGUGAGCGCGUCUCAAGACGAAACGACGGGUUCAGUGAGUGGUUUAAUCGUUAAUUGCAUAGAUUUAAUAAGAGUUGCGACGUUGGACUGGGUUGUGUUGGGCAGGCAGUAGGCUGACCGACCCCUUUUCUUCUUGUCUAGGUUAGUGCAGUAUGCAUGUAAAUUUUAUGGAUCCACUAGACUGAAGUUUUGUGUACUGUUUCUGUACCUUGUUGUUGUAUCUUUUUGGUUGUAUGUGGAACCCUGGCUAAUUCUGUUGUGGACCUUGUAUCUUUCUUUAGUAGUGAUGUUAGCAGGGUUGUUUGAGCCUUACGGUGACUAGGAGUGGGACGCUGUAGGGUCUACUCCUUGUUGUCGUGGCGAUUGCCACGUGCCCGGCUAGGGUCGGGGCGUGACAAUAGGGAUUAAUGGCUUAAGAGUAACCAAUGUCACAUGAUACCACCAAAACUAAUGAACAGGAGAAGAGGUAGGAAGACAUUGCUUAGGAGGAAGAAAAUAGGUGAGGAGAAUAGAAGCUUCACAAAUGGGAAAGUUAGUAAAAAAACGGGUCACUAUGAAGUGCAGUUUUUGUAGAAUUGCAAGGCAUAACAGAAGAUACCAUGGAAGAAAACAUGUAAUUGGCUAAUUCUUAAUUUUAAUUUAUGUUUUCUAGUAGAUUGUGCCAUACAAUUAGUUAGUUCUAUAUCAUGUAUGCAUGACAGGCUAACAAAAGAAAUACUAGUGAGCAACAACAUAUGGAUUCAAAUGAAGCAAGAGAAGAUAAUGCAUGGAUGCAAUAGACUAACAAGUUCUAUAGGAGAAUUUUGAAAUGGUUAGUUGAUGUUUUUAAAUUUCAAUGUUCAUAUGUUGAAAUGAAUUCUUGGCUCACCAUUGUAAUAAGGAUCUUCAAGGUUGAUGAUUUAAAUGAAGGUUGCCAACAAGAGAUAGCCACAGCACAACCACAGGCACCUGAGAAUCCCCUGUCACAGGUACUUUUUAUUUAAAUUUUAGCAACACCAUGUUUUCCAAUAAAUGAAACUGACGUGAGUUCAUUUUUAAAUAAAAUUCCAAGUAAUUAAUACUUCUGAUUAGAACAUCCCCAUGAUGAAAUAGACUGCAAACAAGUUUGGAGUAAGGAGGUAAAAAAUGAGUGUAUGGGAGGCAAAGGCAUUAAUUUAAAUACAAUACAAGAAGCCUCAAAUGAGAACCGAAUUACCAAACCUCAAGGUCCAAAGCAUUAAGGGAAGGAAAAGGAUACAAAGGACAAGAACAAAGAAAGGACUGUUGCAAAAAAGAAAAAUUUAUGGAUCCCCCUCAAGAGCUGGUGCAAAGUGACAAAGUUGUUUAUUUAUGUAAUCACUAAUGUAAUGCAAUUAGAAUUGAUGGGUUUUGUUUUUGUUUAUUACUAUUAUUAUUAUUAUUGUUUGUGAAGAGAUAGUUUAUUAAUUAACUUGUUUGACCCAUUUUUGUACAUGUUGACAUUACAAAAAUCUGAAUGAAGUUGCAAUUUUUUGUUUCUGAU